GAGCUGUUCCCUUCUCCUUUCUCCGGGACGACCCCGUUGGCCGCGUUCUCUGUCCCGUUCUCGAUCCCCAUCGUCCCGUUCUCGAUCCGGUUCUAGAUCUCGGCCAUCCCCAUCUUCAUCCCGUUCUUGAUCUCGGCUGCCCCGUUCUCGAUCCAGUUCUUGAUCCCCAUUGUCCCGUUCUCGAUCUGGGCCGUCCCAUUUUUGGUCCCCCUCUAGAGCUUGAUAACCCAGUUCUUGAUCCCUGUCAUUCAGUUCCUGAUCCUGUUCCAGAUCCUGGUUGUGCUGUUCUUGACCCUGUGCUAGAUCCCAAUCAUCCCGUUCUUGAGCGCAUUCUAGAUCCCGAUCACCCCAGUCUCCAUCCUGUUCUUGAUCCCAAUUGACCAGUUCUUCUUCCAGUUCUACACCCAAAUUGCUGUGCUCUAGAGCAUGUUCUAGAUCACAAAUAGCGUGUUCUCGAUCACAACGGUCUCCUUCCUGAUCAUCCAAUCCCUGAUCACGUUGACAUCUCUGGCCCCGCUCUAGAUCUGGUUCAUGUUGUUCUAGACCUGGUUGACAUCGUUCUUGGUCCGGUUGACAUUGUUCUCCAUCCGGCUGGCACGGUUCUUGAUCCACUUGAUGCGGUUCUCGAUCUGGCUGGCGCCAUUCUGCAUCCGGCUGAUGUUCUCGUUUCGGUUGACAUCGCUGACCCUGUUCUUGACCUGGUUGAUGUUCUCGAUCCCGUUGACGCUGUUCUCGAUCCCGGUGACAUUGCUGUUGGUGCAGUUGACGCUGCUGACCCCGUUCUCGCUCCUGUUGAUCAUGUUCUCGAUCCACCUGACACUGCUGACAACGUUCUUGAUCCUGUUGAUGUUGUUGGCUGUGUUCUCCAUCCUGCUGACCCCGUUCUCGCUCCAGUUGACGCUGCCGACCCCGUUCUCGAUCUGGUUGACCCCGUUCUUGAUCCCGUUGACAUCUACUCUGCUGUUCUUGAUGUGGUUGACCUGGUUCUUGAUCCAGUUGGCCCCGUUCUCGAUCUGGUUGACCCCAUUCCUGAUCCUGUUGGCGUUUCCUCUGCUGUUCCCGAUUUGGUUGACCCCAUUCUUGAUCUGGCUGACGCCGUUCUUGAUCCCGUUGAUGCUCGCUCUGCCGUUCCCGAUUCGCUUGAUCCCGUUCUCGAUCCGGUUGACCCCGUUCUCGAUCCCGCCGUGCCGCCGCGGGUUUCGCCGCCUCCUCGGCCUCGUCGGGCUCCAAACCCAGAACCAACCACGAGUGGAUGAGGGACGGGACGUAUCCUUGCACCAGCGGCUCCAACAACGCCGGCUGCCCCAUUAAGCGCUGCAGCAAACGAAGGGCGCGGGGGGCGGGGUCCGGGACCCCCGUCAGAUAGCGGAGGAAGCCCGUCACCACGGGGGGGGAAGCGAAAGCGGGGCUGGGGUCGUCGAAGGAAGCCAGGCGCCCCAAAAGGAGGAGGGCGGGAGCUUCGGGGCGCCAUGGGUCGCCGUCGCCGAGAGAGCGGGGCAAGGCCAGGGCGCGGAGAGGGGCUAAAAGGG
rnacentral:lncRNA from 1 species